rnacentral:rRNA from 1 species
UACGUAGGGUGCGAGCGUUAAUCGGAAUUACUGGGCGUAAAGCGUGUGCAGGCGGGCUGUCAAGUGGUGUAUGAAAUCUCCCGGCUUAACCGGGAUAGGUUAUGCCAGACUGGCAGUCUAGAGGCUGAGAGAGGAGCGUGGAAUUCCACGUGUAGCAGUGAAAUGCGUAGAGAUGUGGAGGAAUACCGAUGGCGAAGGCAGCCCCCUGGGCCAAUACUGACGCUCAUGCACGAAAGCGUGGGGAGCAAACAGG